AUACGGAGGGAGCAAGCGUUAUUCGGAAUCACUGGGCGUAAAGGACGCGUAGGCGGGUUUGUAAGUCAGGUGUGAAAUCCUACAGCUCAACUGUAGAACUGCACUUGAAACUACAGACCUAGAGUAUGGAAGGGGCAGAUGGAAUUAGUGGUGUAGGGGUAAAAUCCGUAGAUAUCACUAGGAAUACCGAAAGCGAAGGCGAUCUGCUGGGACAUUACUGACGCUGAGGCGUGAAAGCGUGGGGAGCAAACGGAAUUAGAUACCCUUGUAGUCC
rnacentral:rRNA from 1 species